AUUGAACGCUGGCGGCAGGCCUAACACAUGCAAGUCGAACGAGUGGCGGACGGGUGAGUAAUGUCUGGGGAACUGCCCGAUGGAGGGGGAUAACUACUGGAAACGGUAGCUAAUACCGCAUACCAUCGGAUGUGCCCAGAUGGGAUUAGCUAGUAGGUGGGGUAAAGGCUCACCUAGGCGACGAUCCCUAGCUGGUCUGAGAGGAGGACCAGCCACACUGGAACUGAGACACGGCCCAGACUCCUACGGGAGGCAGCAGUGGGGAAUAUUGCACAAUGGGCGCAAGUCUGAUGCAGCCAUGCCGCGUGUGUGAAGAAGGCCUUCGGGUUGUAAAGUACUUUCAGCGGGGAGGCGUUACCCGCAGAAGAAGCACCGGCUAACUCCGUGCCAGCAGCCGCGGUAAUUC
rnacentral:rRNA from 1 species